AUUUAUCAGAGUUAUCUCUAUAGAUCCGCAUUCUUCAGAUGAAAAUAUAUAGCUAGAUUUUCAUCAAGAAGUUCUUGACAAUAAAUAUUAUCAUACUGAUUAAGUUUCUCAAAUAUCAAAUAUUGUUUACGUACAAUACGUAAAGCACAUUCUGUGCUCCCACUAUUUCUCUUGUACACUUUUAACUCGUCCAUACUUUUGAUGCAUCAAAUACUUUCC
rnacentral:lncRNA from 1 species